rnacentral:rRNA from 1 species
UACGAAGGGGGCUAGCGUUGCUCGGAAUUACUGGGCGUAAAGCGCACGUAGGCGGAUUGCUAAGUCAGUGGUGAAAUCCUGGAGCUCAACUCCAGAACUGCCUUUGAUACUGGCGAUCUCGAGUCCGGGAGAGGUGAGUGGAACUGCGAGUGUAGAGGUGAAAUUCGUAGAUAUUCGCAAGAACACCAGUGGCGAAGGCGGCUCACUGGCCCGGUACUGACGCUGAGGUGCGAAAGCGUGGGGAGCAAACAGG